rnacentral:antisense_RNA from 1 species
CGUAGCCGAAGAUGACCGUCGGGUCGAGGGUCGGAUUGGUGACGGUGCGCACCUGGCCGGCCCACUGGUUGUUGUUGUCGAAGAACCAGGGGUCGUAGAUGCCGCCAAACCAGCAGGCCUUGGCCACCAGCAGGAAGCAACCGAUCCCAAGCAGGAUCAGGUGGAUGCCCAGGAUGGUGGUCAUCUUGUUCUUGUCUUUCCA